rnacentral:rRNA from 1 species
GAUGAACGCUAGCUACAGGCUUAACACAUGCAAGUCGAGGGGCAGCAGGGAUUUAGCUUGCUAAAUUCGCUGGCGACCGGCGCACGGGUGCGUAACGCGUAUCCAACUUUCCCCGUUACUCUCGGAUAGCCUUCCGAAAGGGAGAUUAAUACGAGAUGGUGUUUUAAUUCCGCAUGUUAUUAAAACUAAAGAUUUAUCGGUAACGGAUAGGGAUGCGUGACAUUAGAUAGUUGGCGGGGUAACGGCCCACCAAGUCUACGAUGUCUAGGGGUUCUGAGAGGAAGGUCCCCCACACUGGAACUGAGACACGGUCCCAGACUCCUACGGGGAGGCAGCAGUGAGGAUAUUGGUCAAUGGCCGAGAGGCUG